rnacentral:rRNA from 1 species
UACGUAGGGUGCGAGCGUUGUCCGGAAUUAUUGGGCGUAAAGGGCUCGUAGGCGGUUUGUCGCGUCGGGUGUGAAAUCCCCGGGCUUAACCUGGGAAUGGCAUUUGGGACUGCAAGGCUGGAGUGUGGCAGAGGAGACUGGAAUUCCUGGUGUAGCAGUGAAAUGCGUAGAUAUCAGGAGGAAUACCGAUGGCGAAGGCAGGUCUCUGGGCUGACACUGACGCUCAUGCACGAAAGCGUGGGGAGCAAACAGG